UACGUAGGGUGCGAGCGUUGUCCGGAAUUACUGGGCGUAAAGAGCUCGUAGGUGGUUUGUCGCGUUGUUCGUGAAAACUCACAGCUUAACUGUGGGCGUGCGGGCGAUACGGGCAGACUGGAGUACUGCAGGGGAGACUGGAAUUCCUGGUGUAGCGGUGGAAUGCGUAGAGAUCCGGAGGAAGACCGGUGGCGAAGGCGGCCUGCUGGGCAGUUCUGACACUGAGGCGCGACAGCGUGGGGAGCAAACAGG
rnacentral:rRNA from 1 species